rnacentral:rRNA from 1 species
AACGAACGCUGGCGGCAGGCCUAACACAUGCAAGUCGAACGAACCUUCGGGUUAGUGGCGAACGGGUGAGUAACACGUGGGCAACCUGCCCCGAGCUCUGGGAUAACUCCGGGAAACCGGGGCUAAUACCGGAUAUGACCAUCACGGGCAUCUUUGAUGGUGGAAAGUUUUUCGGCUCGGGAUGGCCCGCGGCCUAUCAGCUUGUUGGUGGGGUAAUGGCCUACCAAGGCGACGACGGGUAGCCGGCCUGAGAGGGCGACCGGCCACACUGGGACUGAGACACGGCCCAGACUCCUACGGGAGGCAGCAGUGGGGAAUAUUGCGCAAUGGGCGAAAGCCUGACGCAGCGACGCCGCGUGAGGGACGAAGGCCU